rnacentral:lncRNA from 1 species
CUUUGCCUGAAAAUUAAACAUAAGAAGGGUGAGUAUUUUAAAUACUCAGUAAGAGACCCUCUACUGGUCUCGUCAGGGGAAAAUAAAUUGUUAAAGUUCUAUUGGGACACCCUGUACAGUCGCAGUCUUGUGAUCCCGUAGGAUACACAUUUCAGUCUAACGCCCCGAAGGACGUACAUAUCAGUCUGACGCCCCGAGGGACGUACAUAUCAGUCAAGUGUUCUGCAGAACACAUAUCAGUCAAAUGCUCCCGAAGGUGCAAAAUAAAUUGGUGAUCCCGUGGGACACCUACAAGGUAAUCAUCCCAAUACAACCUAACAAUCUAUCCCCUCAUUCCAUUCAACCCAUCCUUCAGAUACUUCAAAACAUAGAGUUCUUUCUCUCAACGUCCUAACAGUCAACUUAUCUCACUUAGGUCAUAUGUCUGUCAAUAAACAUACUAAUACAUCAGUCAAUCAAAACUAUACAGUCAAUACACCCCUCAGAUCACCAGCACACAGUCAUACUUUAGCGUAACGACACCCAAUCUAAACGACAAUCACAAGAUCGCAUCUGCAUCUCAUACAAGCAUAAUCUACAAUUUUCGUCCUGUCCACAUCCACACACAUAUAUAUAUAUUCCAUGACAAUCACAAUAUGCAUUCCACAUUAAGUCUACUUCAAUUCCUAUGCAUAUGUAUAUAUAUUUUCAGUCAAUCCACAGUGUACAUUCAGCACCGAAUCUACACCCAUACGUGUAUAAACAUAAGUAUCAUCUCAACAUCUUUACUCAGUCAAAGAUAAUCAUUUAGACAUGCAAUUCACAAUCAUAAGUGAGUCCAGUAGAAAAUCCCUUACCUUCAAAUUUGUUAAGCUCCUUAACCACGUUGAAGUCUAUGAAGAACGAACCUAAACAUUAAGACAAUUUCUCAAUAAUUCCCUUCAACGCAUCAGUCAUUUAAAUUCAACCCAAUGUGAAUCUUUUUGCAACUUACCCAAAUCUUCACGAAAGAAAUCGAGCAGUGGCUUUGCGAAGAGAUGACGUGCGACGGAGAGACCGUAUACAAAUGGCCGGAGAGUCGCGCGGCAGUGCAGACGACGGAGGAGAAGGAAUCGGCGGCGGCUGGGCUGAAAACAGAGGAGAAAGGAGAGGGGAGACAGCCGGCGGUUACAGGUUCACGCGGCGGCCUUGCUUCGCGAACAGAGAUGGCGGCCGACGGUUGCAGCGACGUCCGGCUGGGUUUGGACGGAACGGAGAGGAAAAGAGAAGAUGGAGAUGGCCGACGGCAGUUGCUGUGCGAACGGAUGGGGCGGCUGACUGCGGUUGGCUGCGGCAGGACGGGAAGAAGAAUAGGGAAAAUGGGUGGGCGGCUGCUAGGGUACCGGAAGGAGAAGAAAAGAAAAAUGAGAGAGGGGUUGUGUGCGCGCGAGAGAGAGAGGUAAAUUUCUUUUUCUUUUCUUUUUAUUUAAAUUAAGUAUAAAAAUAUAUAUAUAUAUAUAUAAAAUUAAAAACAAAAUAUAUAUAUACAUACCUUUGGGGCAUUACAUUCUUCCCUCCUUAAGAAACUUUCGUCCUCGAAAGUUCUAAUCCUGAAAUAACUCUGGAUAACGAGUCCUCAUUUCUUCCUCUCGCUCCCAUGUCGCCUCUUCAAUUCGAUGAUUCCGCCACAAAACCUUUACUAAUGGAAUGCUUCUAUUACGAAGCAUCUUUACCUCUCUAGCCAGAAUUUCCACAGGUUGUUCUACGUAGCUCAAAUGCUCAUCAAUCUCCAAGGGUUCAUAGUCCACUACAUGAGAUGUAUCGGCCACAUACUUCCUCAACAUCGAAACAUGGAAAACAUUAUGAACUGCAGAGAGUGAUGGUGGUAAUGCCAAGCGAUACGCCACAACACCAACCCUCUCUAAGAUCUCAAAUGGUCCAACAAAACGAGGACUUAACUUCCCUUUCUUCUCAAAACGCAUAACACCCUUCAUAGGUGCUACCUUCAAGAAUACCUUUUCUCCCACAUCGAACUUAAGGUCUUUUCGCCGUACAUCUGCAUAACUCUUCUGUCUGCUCUGCGCUGUUUGCAUACGCGUCCUAAUCGUUUGAAUAGCCUCAUUAGCAGACCGAACUAAUUCAGGUCCCAUCAAUCUAUGUUCACCAACCUCACUCCAACAAACAGGGGUUCUACAACAUUUGCCAUACAAAGCCUCAAAUGGUGCCAUACCGAUGGUAGCCUGGAAACUGUUGUUAUAAGCAAACUCCAUCAAAUGUAGAUGAGAGUCCCAACUACCUGGAAACUCUAUAACACAAGCUCGUAGCAUAUCCUCUAAAACUUGGUUCAAACGUUCAGUUUGACCAUCAGUCUGUGGAUGAAAGGCUGUACUGAAAUCCAAUCUCGUACCCAUAGCAGUCUGAAGUCCCUUCCAAAACUUGGAAGUAAACCGUGCAUCCCUAUCAGAAACAAUCGAUACAGGCACUCCAUGCAGUCUCACAAUCUCAGUUAAAUACAACUCUGCCCACUUACUAGCAGUAUAAGUGGAUUUUCCUGGUACAAAAUGUGCCGAUUUCGUAAGCCUGUCUAUGACAACCCAAAUCACUGUGUAACCCUUCAGGGUUUUAGGCAAUUAUAUAAUAAAAUCCAUAGAUACAUUCUCCCACUUCCACUCUAAUAUACUCAAAGGUUGCAACAAACCUGUUGUUUUCUAUCUUGGUGCUUUAACCUACUAGCACACCAAGCACUUACUAACAAGAUUUUCCAUUUCUCUCUUCAUAUUACGCUAGUAACAAACUCUUUUCAAAUCCGGAUACAUUUUUUUGUGCUACUUGGAUGCAUGAGAAAUGGGAAACUAUGAGUCUCAACCAAUAACCUUGUCUUAAUUGCAUUUUCUGUUGGCACACACAAUUCUCUCUCAAACAUAAGUUCAUCAUCAAAGGAUAUGGAAAACUCCUUAACUUGCCCUACUUCUACUAGGCGAUGCUUCUCAAUCAAAUAAGGAUCAAUGAAUUGAACCACAAGAAUUCUUUGUCUCAAGAUCGGAUGUACUGACAACUGAGCUAACUGUGAGGUGACUUCCCCCACUGAAACUACAAUCUCAGCUCUCUCGUGGUUUUUGUCUAAUGAAACCUGUCUGGUAAUAAGUGCUGUCAAAAUGUGAUACUUUUCUACGAAGAGCACCAACUUCCACAUUCGCCUUACCUAGAUGGUACAAAAUCUCACAAUCAUAGUCAUUUACUAACUGAAACCAUCUUUGCUAUCUCAUACUCAACUUCUUUGAGUGAAGAAGUAUUUUAUACUCUUUUGGUUAGAAAAUAUCUAUAUCUUUUCAUCAUACAAAUAGUGCCUUCAAAUCAUUAAUGUAAAAACCACAACUGUCAAUUCCAUAUCAUAAGUUGGAUAAUUUUCCUCAUGACUCUUCAACUGACGAGGAGCACAAACAACUACUUUAACUUGUUGAAUCAGAAUACCUUUUAAAUUUUCCUAAAAGAAUCACUAUAAAUUACGAAACUUUCUGAACCAUCAUGUACGGUAAGCACGGGAGUUGUACAAGCUUCUACUUAAGAUCCUGAACACUAUCCUCAUAGGCUUUGUCCCAAACAAACGGAGUCCCUUUUCUUAGUUAACUGAGUCAAAGGAGUAGCCAAACGUGAAAAAUCCUCCACAAACCUCCGGUAGUACCCUGCUAAACCCAGAAAACUACGAACCUCACCAACUGUGGAGGGUCGAGACCAACUGGUAACAGCUUCUAUCUUUGCAGGGUCUACUGAAAUUCCCUCACUGGAAACCACAUGACCAAGAAAAGUCACUUGCUUCAACCAAAAUUCGCACUUCGAGAACUUAGCAUACAGUUUAUUGGCUCGAAGAGUCUCUAAUACCUUAUGUAAAUGUUCCUCAUGUUCGACUUCAGUCUUGGAAUAAACCAAGAUAUCAUCAAUGAAGACUAUCACAAAAGUGUCCAAGAAAUCCUUAAACACCCUGUUCAUCAAAUCCAUAAAUACAGCAGGUGCAUUAGUCAAACCAAAAGACAUCACUAUGAAUUCAUAAUGUCCAUACCUCGAACGAAAGGCAGUCUUAGGAAUAUCACGGUCUCUAAUCCUCAACUGGUGAUAACCUGACCGUAAGUCAAUCUUAGAGAACACCGUGGCUCCCUGUAACUGAUCGAACAAAUCAUCGAUUCUGGGUAAAGGAUACCUGUUCUUGACUGUUACUUUAUUCAACUCUCUAUAGUCAAUGCAAAGACGCAUCGACCCAUCCUUCUUCUUCACAAACAAUACUGGUGCACCCCAAGGUGACACACUAGGUCGAAUAAAGCCUUUGUCAAGCAAUUCCUGUAACUGUACCUUCAGUUCUUUCAACUCAGCAGGAGCCAUCCUAUAAGGGGCUCUAGAAAUAGGAGUAGUGUUUGGCUCCAACUCAAUGGCAAAAUCAACCUCUCUAUGUGGCGGUAGUCCUGGAAGAUCUUUUGGAAAUACAUCUGGGUAGUCUCUUUACCACAGGUUCUGAAGUUAAAGAAGUCUCACCUUCCCUAGUAUCCACCACACUUGCCAAAAUACUCCAAGUACCCUGGUUGAGUAGUUUACUAGCUUUCAUAGCUGAGAUUACUUUAGGCAGUACUACUGUUCCUACUCCCUUGAAUUUAAAGCUAGAUGCAGUAGGGGGACUAAACACAACUUCCUUACGAGAACAAUCAAUACUAGCAUGAUUAGUAGCUAGCCAAUCCAUACCUAAAAUUACAUCAAAGUCACGCAUAUCUAAUACCAACAAGGUUACGUCCAGUACACGACCAGCUAUUUCAAUUUCACAUGCUUUAAUCUUUUCCUUAGACAACAUAAUUUCUCCAGACGGUGUAGACACUGACAAAACAUAGUCUAAGGGUUCCACUUCUAAGCAUGCAUGCGUCACAAAAAGCGAUGAAAUAAAUGAAUGAGAAGAUCCCGAGUCAAACAAGGUCAAGGCAAAAUGCCCCAAUACUGGUAACGUACCUGUCACUACUGUGCCGGCCUUCUCUGUCUCUGAUCUAUUAGUGGCAAAGAUUGUACCCCGCUGUGGAGGUCUCUCUCCCUGACUGCUCGAUCCAGCCCCAGUAGAUCUCAAGGGACACCUAUCAGCCAUGUGUCCCUCUUGCUUGCACUUAUAACAGACUCUCGUUCCCAUCAAACAACGACCCAGGUGGCGUUUCCCACACGUAUCACAUACUGGCCUCUCCUUGAGUAGUGUCUCCUGCACCGCCAGAACUCUGCUGGAAACUGCGAAAAGAAUCACCUGUGGUCUCAUGUUCCUCUGAGGAACUCCUACAGUUCUCUGCUCUACUUUUCUCUUUUGACCCGACGACGAUCCCUUAUUAAAGCUCCUUGGCUGUCUUUCAUCCUUCCCAAUACUCAUAUCCACUGCCAGACGCAGUGCUUCAGCUUGGGUAGUGGGCUUUAGUGCUCGCACAAAACCCCUAAUUUCAUCUCUCAAUCCCUUGACGAACCUAUCAGCUCUAGCCUGCUCAUUACUAACAAGCUCAGGGGCAAAACGUGACAGCAUAUCAAACUCCUGGUCGUACUCCUCGACUGUCAUAUAUCCUUGCUUCAACUCCAAGAAUUCCUGGCUUUUGGCGUCUCUAAGGUUAGCCGAGAAAAACUUGGUAUAGAAGCAGUCCUUAAACUGAUCCCAGGUAAUCUGCCUCACAUCUCCACCUAGCAUGCGCAUGGUAGUCCUCCACCAGAUAAUGCCUCUGUCCCUCAGUAGAAAAGCAGCACACUGAACUCUGUGCUCCUCAGGACAUCUCAUGUAAUUAAAUAUGGUUUCCAACAGAGGACAACCACAUUUCAGCUUUAGUAGGAUCCUCCAGUGACCCAUCAAACGUCUGAGGGUCAUACUUCCGAAAGUCCCUCAAAUGUUUCGCCUCAGCAGAAAGUUGGUUAGGUAAUUCUUGUGCAGGAGGGGCUGCUGGUGCAGGGGGAACUACAGGUGCAGGUGGGACUGCAGGUGCCUGCUGGUUUUGAGCUAUGGCUGUCAUAAGUUCUGUAAACCUCUGCUCCAUGUGAGCAGACAGUGCAUCAAACUCGACGUGAGUCACGGGUGCAGCAGGAAUUCGCUGUUCAGCUUGACCCUCAGUAGGCUGAUUACGACCUACUCCUCUACCUUCGGCCUCUACGACCUCCUCUACGUACUUCUUCCCUUGGCGGCAUAAUUCCUAUUAUCCACCAACAACACUCUUUAACAAAAUCUUAAUCAUAAACAUAAGCAAGUCUUUAUCGUCAUGCAAUCUAGUUUAAUUUAGGCAAGGUCAUGCAAAUAAACCAUACAUAUAAGCAUAAAGCAUACCUGACGAGAGACGAAGGGUCGCGUUAGCCAUAGGAACACAAAAACAUAGACUUACAUCGUAAGUCAGUCUACAGAACCUAAAACUUAGGCUCUGAUACCAACUGUAACGACCCAACUUUUCUAAGUAAGUCGAGAUCGUUAGUUUUUAACAAAUAAAAGACUCUGAUUAAAAUAAAACAAAACGUAAGCAAUUUAAAAAAAAAAAAAAAACAUCUUCAAGUCAGGCCUGAUUUUUAAACAUUCAAGAAAACAUAAAAUAAUACUGUUUACAACAAACGUUUGUAAACUAAAUUUCAAAUCAAUCUUAAAUAAGCGGAAGCAAUUACACGUUUCCUAUGGCAUCACGCUUCCUUCCUGCCCCUCGCCGGUUUGCCGCCUUUAUUACCUUUGCCUGAAAAUUAAACAUAAGAAGGGUGAGUAUUUUAAAUACUCAGUAAGAGACCCUCUACUGGUCUCGUCAGGGGAAAAUAAAUUGUUAAAGUUCUAUUGGGACACCCUGUACAGUCGCAGUCUUGUGAUCCCGUAGGAUACACAUUUCAGUCUAACGCCCCGAAGGACGUACAUAUCAGUCUGACGCCCCGAGGGACGUACAUAUCAGUCAAGUGUUCUGCAGAACACAUAUCAGUCAAAUGCUCCCGAAGGUGCAAAAUAAAUUGGUGAUCCCGUGGGACACCUACAAGGUAAUCAUCCCAAUACAACCUAACAAUCUAUCCCCUCAUUCCAUUCAACCCAUCCUUCAGAUACUUCAAAACAUAGAGUUCUUUCUCUCAACGUCCUAACAGUCAACUUAUCUCACUUAGGUCAUAUGUCUGUCAAUAACAUACUAAUACAUCAGUCAAUCAAACUAUACAGUCAAUACACCCCUCAGAUCACCAGCACACAGUCAUACUUUAGCGUAACGACACCCAAUCUAAACGACAAUCACAAGAUCGCAUCUGCAUCUCAUACAAGCAUAAUCUACAAUUUUCGUCCUGUCCACAUCCACACACAUAUAUAUAUAUUCCAUGACAAUCACAAUAUGCAUUCCACAUUAAGUCUACUUCAAUUCCUAUGCAUAUGUAUAUAUAUUUUCAGUCAAUCCACAGUGUACAUUCAGCACCGAAUCUACACCCAUACGUGUAUAAACAUAAGUAUCAUCUCAACAUCUUUACUCAGUCAAAGAUAAUCAUUUAGACAUGCAAUUC